rnacentral:lncRNA from 1 species
CCUUCUUUCUGCCUGGAACGUAGUCAUCCUGGCUGGAUUUGCAGCAGCCAUAUUGGGACCACGAGGUGAACUUGAUGACGGAUGAUGAAAGACUGAAUACACCAAUGGACAAUGGCCAGGACAUGUAUCAAAUAGAACUUUGAUGCACAAGCUGCGGCAACCAGCCCAGGAAACCAACCUAUUAUCCAUAGUAGCCAGGCAGAUGGGUAGGAAUUCAGACUGCUAUCUCUAGGAACUGGUUCAGGAGGCCAAAUGAUAACCCCUGUAGCAAUUGGCCCAAAAUAUCCAGGACUUGGUUAAUAAUUUUUAUUAUUAAUAAAAUAACAAUAGCUUCUUUAAUUUUUUUCCCCUGCUUCCAAUUUAGGACCAAUCAGAAAAAGCUGAAUCUGCUCCCCUAACCAGUCACAUACGAUGCCUGCUUCUGGUGAGCCACCCACAGCUUCGCCGGUUCCCCAGCCUCCCUCAGGGCACCCCUGAGCCUCCCCUCUCUUCCGCUAUUAAGGUCUCCUCCUCCUCCGCCUGCCUGAGUCUCCACCCAAUGCAAGUGAUGGUGGCUGACCCCCUUGCGAUAGUCAGCUCUGGAAAAGUCCCUUUUCUUUUCACAUUCAGGUGGGUUUCAUUUAUUUCCACGAUGCCAGGUGUUAAGGAUGUCAAAGCAGAAACACAAAAGGACCUCGAGCUCUGCUCAAAGGGGCAGCUGCUCUGCCAUCCAGAACUGUGUUGGGGAAACAGAAUUACAAACAAAAUCUCCUCCCCAUCCAGAAAACAUCUCCACAAGAGUAGGAGAGAAAGAAAGCAAUUUGAUUAUUGACUAAGCACUGGGCUAGAACGUGACGUGCAUCACUGGCGGGCUGCUCGGAGGCUUAUUUUGAUUUCAACUUACAGCUGCCUGUCUCCAGACUUCUUAACAAGAGAGAAAAUAAGCCUCUAUCGUGUUUAAACCACCCUCACUUUGAUUUUUUAUAAUUAGCAGCCAAAUGCGACAUCCAGUGAGAGCAGUUUUAUGGGUCUUUUUCCCCCAACUCUGGAAAAUUCUUUUAUCUUUGAUAUUGCCUCUUCCAUGCUCUCUGUUCUCUCCUUCUUAGAAAAUAUAUGUUCGAGCUUCUCAUUCUAUCUUGCUCGUCUAAAGUUUUCUUUAGUAUUUUUCAACCUUAUCUCCCUGUGCCACAGAUUUACCUUCCAGUUCAUUAAUUCUCCCUUCAGCUGAAUCUGGUCUACGGUGUAAUCCUUAUGUUAAAUUUUGUUGCUAUGAAUCAUAACAAAUAUAUCUAAAAUUUUGUUUGUGUUAAAAAAAUUCUGCUUCUUUAAAAAAUGGUAUCCUGUUUCAUGUGUUAUGAAUGCUAUUUUCUAUCUAUAUGCUGUUUAAAAGAAGCCACUUUAAAUAUAAAGAUGUAGGUAGGUUAAAGGUAAAAGGAUGGAAAAAGAUAGACUGUGCAGACACGAAUAGAGAAAGAAAAGCUGGAGAGUUGAUGUUAAUAUCAGACAAAGCUGAUUUCAGUGCAAGGACAGUUAUUAGGGAUAAAGAAGGACAUUACCUAAAGAUGAAGGGGUCAAGCCAUCAAGGAGACAUCACCAUCCUAAAUGUGUAUGUCGUAACAACAGAGCUUCAAAAGACACGAAGAAAACCGUGAAAGAAGUGAAUGUUGAAAUAAAUCCAUAAUUACAGCUGGAGACCUCUAUGCUGCUUUCUUGGUAAUGGGUAGCACAAGCAGCCAGAACCCCCUGGGCCAGGAAGUCCGUGCAGCUCAUCUUCUGCAGGGCUUAGUGUGGGGCACUGGUGCAUCUGGUCAGGAGCACAGCUGGUUUGGGUUUGUGGUUGCGAUGGUUAUCUUAGCACCACAGACUUCCAAUUCCUCCAGCUGUGGGCUGCAGCGGAGGGUUCUUCUCAGGGUUCCUGUGUUCCUCUCAGUGUUUAGCAGUCCCUGCAUGUCUGCCCCACAGAGGGGGUCCCUCUCCAAGCUCUUAACCCUCCCCGAGAACCACUGGACCUUUGCUUAUGCCCCAGGGGCACGAGGGUUUGGUGCGUCCCCCUCUGCCUCUACCAAAAGAGUCCAGGAUGCAUGUGGGGCUUGCAGCUGCCCCCAGGAGCCGCUAAUCACGUCAUGCACACCCACGUCACACAGAGGACUCUCUCUGAUGUCCUGUUUCCCAUCUUUCUUGUCAGCAGUUGGUGGUGGCCAAGGCAGAGAACUUGCAAGUGACUGCAAACUCCCCUAUAUGUGUGGGACCCCACCUCUCCCC